UACGUAGGGUGCGAGCGUUGUCCGGAAUUAUUGGGCGUAAAGAGCUCGUAGGCGGUCUGUCGCGUCGGAUGUGAAAGCCCGGGGCUUAACUCCGGGUCUGCAUUCGAUACGGGCAGACUAGAGUGUGGUAGGGGAGAUCGGAAUUCCUGGUGUAGCGGUGGAAUGCGCAGAUAUCAGGAGGAACACCGAUGGCGAAGGCAGGUCUCUGGGCCGCAACUGACGCUGAGGAGCGAAAGCAUGGGGAGCGAACAGG
rnacentral:rRNA from 1 species